rnacentral:rRNA from 1 species
AGUGAACGCUGGCGGCAGGCCUAACACAUGCAAGUCGAACGGCAGCACAGUAAGAGCUUGCUCUUACGGGUGGCGAGUGGCGGACGGGUGAGGAAUACAUCGGAAUCUACUUUUUCGUGGGGGAUAACGAAGGGAAACUUACGCUAAUACCGCAUACGACCUACGGGUGAAAGCAGGGGAUCUUCGGACCUUGCGCGAUUGAAUGAGCGGAUGUCGGAUUAGCUAGUUGGGGGGGUAAAGGCCCACCAAGGCGACGAUCCGUAGCUGGUCUGAGAGGAUGAUCAGCCACACUGGAACUGAGACACGGUCCAGACUCCUACGGGAGGCAGCAGUGGGGAAUAUUAGACAAUGGGCGCAAGCCUGAUCCAGCCAUACCGCGUGGGUGAAGAAGGCCUUCGGGUUGUAAAGCCCUUUUGUUGGGAAAGAAAAGCAGCAGGUUAAUACCCCGCUGUUCUGACGGUACCCAAAGAAUAAGCACCGGCUAACUUCGUG